rnacentral:antisense_RNA from 1 species
GCUCAGGCUGCUGGGUGACAUUUCUAUGUCUCUUCUUCAACAGUGAAAUAUUUCAGUGGUUGUCCAUCACCUAUGGGAGUCUGAGAUGGCAUAAUCAGGCCACUGGGGCCUUGCUAGUUGUGCUGUCCCUGAUACUCACUGUGGUAGGCAGUUUCUGAAAUGGCUCCCAGUGAUCCCCAACUCCUGAAAUUCACACUCUGUGUAAUCCCCUCCCUUUGAGUGUGGGCUAGACCUGGUGGCCAAAGUGAUAGGAUUUCACUUCUGAUGUUAGGCUAUGAAAGGCUGUGACCGCUCUCUCUGCCUCUUCUCUCUCACUUGAAGCAAACUGACAUGCUGAAAGCUGCCCUAUGGAGAGGCUCAUGUGGCAAGGAACAGAGGGUGGCUUCUGGCCAACACCCAUUGAGGAACUCAGGCCCUCAGUCAAACAGCCUGCAAGGAACUGAACCCUGCCAAUAACCCUGUGUUGAAAGCUUCCCUUUGGAGAAGAACUGAGGGCUGUCUCUGGUCAAUAGCACUGAGGAACUGAAUCCAGCAAACAAUUAUGUGAAGAAACUUGGA